GGCAUUUUUGGGCUUAAAAUUUCAAAAAUUUUCUGGGGGAGUUAAUGCCUCCAGACCCCCCUAUUCAUUCGCGGUAUGUCGGCCACACACGUGACCCACGGCCAUUGCUAUCCCCCUUUAAUAAUAAGUAAUGGAUAAAUUAUUGUUAAAGGUGAUCUACAGUCCGUAUGUAAACAAAGCCUUUGUUUACAUUUUUGUGUCCAAAAUAUUGAGCUUUAUUCGACAACUAUUUAUAUAGAUGCAGUUAGUGAGUUAGGUUUUGUGCAUGCUCACAGGGUUUUGAAAGCAAACCAUGCCAUGAAAUAUGUGAAGCCUAUGGUUUGUGUCAUGUAUCUAACUAUCUAGGUAGAAUACCUAAAAGUAGAUGUUGUACAAACUACAAAGUUGUGGUUUAUAGAAUCUGGCAGAUCUCCCCCGCCCCCUGUCUCCUAUUUCCUCCCUCCCCCCUCGCCCCUCCAUUCCCUCCGUUCCCCGUUCCCCCACUUCCCGUUCUCCCAUUCCCCGUCCCCCCAUUCCCCGUUUUAAAGAUAGCCGGUUUCAGUCUAUUUCACGGUUUUU